rnacentral:rRNA from 1 species
CCUACGGGUGAGCAGCAGUGGGGAAUAUUGCACAAUGGGGGAAACCCUGAUGCAGCGACGCCGCGUGAAGGUAGAAGUAUUUCGGGAUGUAAACUUCUAUCAGCAGGGAAGAAAAUGACGGUCCCUGACUAAGAAGCCCCGGCUAACUACGUGCCAGCAGCCGCGGUCAGACGUAGGGGGCAAGCGUUAUCCGGAUUUACUGGGUGUAAAGGGAGCGUAGGCGGUUUAGCAAGGCAGAAGUGAAAGCCCGGGGCUCAAAUCCGAGACUGCUAUUGAAACUGUUGAACUAGAUUGCAGGAGAGGUAAGUGGAAUUCGUAGUGUAGCGGUGAAAUGCGUAGAUAUUAGGAGGAACCCCAGUGGCGAAGGCAGCUUACUGGACUGUAAAUAACGCUGAGGCUCGAAAGCGUGGGGAGCAAACAGGAUUAGAUACCCUAGUAGUC